GGAGAUGUGGAUGUCAAUGUGGAUGUCAAAUCUGACAUUUGACAUUUCCUAGCUGUAUGAUCCUGGGCAGGUCACUUAACCCCCACUGCCUAGUCCUUGCCAAUCUUCUUAGAACUGAUACUAAGACAGAGAGGGAGGGGGAGGAGGAGGAGGAAAGAAAAAAGGAAGAAAUUUGGGCAUUAUAAAUCAAAAUAUAUCAAUAAAAUUGACUUUUUAAGAAGUCAGCAGUCUUACUAUGACCAAUUGUAUGUUCUCAAAUGCCUUCUUACAGAAUUUGAAGGAGCCAUGGCUUCACCAGCGGAGGCAGAGCAUUGCUUCUAGCAUUGGAUAGCCUGAACUUUCUUCUUAAAUUACUGACAUGGAAGAAACAAAAGAAAACUAUACAUCACGUGGUAUUUCCUCUUCCCUGAGCUCAGGGUACAACUUUCUGGAUAGGGGAAAGGAAGUGAUUUAUUUGGAAAUAAAGAUGAUGUAAAAGAUACCAAGAAAAUAAACACUAAAAAGUGGACUCUUUCUACAGGAAAAUGAAAGCGACCUUCCAGAGAAGCAUUUUAGAGUGAGAACAACACGGAAGAAUGUCUAAAAUGAGCACAUUCCCUAUGUAACAUCCAAGUCCAGCAAGAACCGUCACAGUCAUGUUGUCUCCAUUGUUUGCUCAAAAUUCAGGAUUUGCAGAGAUGCCCUCUUCCAUUGAUUUCAAAAGAAUGUCAUCACCCUCACUGAACCGAAGAGGAGACAUUUGCUGCUAUGAUCAGAAUCUAAUUUUUUUUUGUAAAACUAAAUAUGGUUUAUUUAAUUAUAAUAAUAGCUAACAUUGAUAUAGCAUUUGAGGGCAGCCUGGAGGCCUAGUGGAUAGAUUUCCAGGCUUAAAGCCUGGAAAACUCAUUGAUCUGAAUUUCAAUCCAGUCUUAGACACUUUCUAGCCAUGUGAUUCUGGGCAAGUUAACUUCAGUUGCUUAGCCCUUACCACUCUUCUGCCUUGCAAUCAAUACUCAGGAACUUGGAAAAAUGCUAGUCAAUUCUAAGAUAGAAAGUAAGGAGUUAUUUAAAAAAGAAAGAGAAAGGAAAAGAGAAAGAAAAAGAAGGAAAGAGGAAGGAAAGAAGAAAUAGAAAGAAAGAAAGAAAGAAAGAAAGAAAGAAAGAAAGAAAGAAAGAAAGAAAGAAAGAAAGAAAGAAAGAAAGAAAGAAAGAAAGAAAGAAAGAAAGAAAGAAAGAAGGGAGAGAGGGAGGGAGGAUGGAGGGAGGG
rnacentral:lncRNA from 1 species